UGAUCAUUGAGGCUAUGGAACGAUACGAAGCAGAACGUAGAGAUGAUGACGAUGAAGAAGCCCUGGAAGUUCAUUCUGGUUCCAGUCACAUCUUCCGUUCGCAACGAUAAUGAGGUGACAAAUGGUUGUUAUUGAUGAAUUGGUAGAGAGCGACUGUUGCAUAGAGGUUUCAUGGCUUCAGUGAAGGUAAAAUGGUUGGAAGCUGUCCACAUGAACGUUGAUGGUGACAUAUUCACUUCUACAAUUUCAUGAAAGCAUCAGAGGGAAUGUUGCAUCUAACGUACAAUCUUUUAUGUUGCUCUUGGAAUGUUUUUAUACUGAGAUUUGUUUUUGGUGACAUUGAAGGCUGUUGAUCCACAUACAAAUUGUUAAGAGUGCGAGAAAACACAUAUUCUACUUGAAGACCAUCUUUCCUAUUAAUCCUCCUAAAGUCCAAAUGGUUUCAUCUAACCAUCAUGCCCUUAAGCAUUUCGGUAGAGCUUAUUGAAGGGGGAAAAUGUAAAGGGGUCCUCUCUUCCCUCAUUUCUGUCCAGAUUGGCCUGAGAAAAUGGUGAGGUCACUUGAAACUUCCUUUCAUUCCUAUGAACAACUGGAACUGUCUCCACCUCAAUGUAUCCCCACGUCCCCUAAGCCCCUACCAUUCUCCCUCAAAGAAAGCAUGAUUACAGCAAAGCAUGCCAAGUAAUUGGCACCUUGUAAAUUUGCUAACCCCUAAAAGAUCCUAAAUAUAAUUUUAA